rnacentral:rRNA from 1 species
AACGAACGCUGGCGGCAUGCCUAACACAUGCAAGUCGAACGAGACCUUCGGGUCUAGUGGCGCACGGGUGCGUAACGCGUGGGAACCUGCCCUUAGGUUCGGAAUAACUCCCCGAAAGGGGUGCUAAUACCAGAUAAUGUCUUCGGACCAAAGAUUUAUCGCCUUUGGAUGGGCCCGCGUUGGAUUAGCUAGUUGGUAGGGUAAAAGCCUACCAAGGCGACGAUCCAUAGCUGGUCUGAGAGGAUGAUCAGCCACACUGGGGCUGAGACACGGCCCAGACUCCUACGGGAGGCAGCAGUGGGGAAUAUUGGACAAUGGGCGAAAGCCUGAUCCAGCAAUGCCGCGUGAGUGAUGAAGGCCUUAGGGUUGUAAAGCUCUUUUACCCGGGAUGAUAAUGACAGUACCGGGAGAAUAAGCUCCGGCUAACUCCGUG